AUGGUCUGUCCUUUUGUAUUUUUCAAUAAUGAGCUGGUCCGUACCAAGACUCUGGUGAAGAAUUGCAUCGUGCUCAUCGACAGCACACCAUACCGACAGUGGUACGAGUCCCACUACGCGCUGCCCCUGGGCCGCAAGAAGGGAGCCAAGCUGACUCCUGAGGAAGAAGAGAUUUUAAACAAAAAACGAUCUAAAAAAAAUUCAGAAGAAAUAUGAUGAAAGGAAAAAGAAUGCCAAAAUCAGCAGUCUCCUGGAGGAGCAGUUCCAGCAGGGCAAGCUUCUUGCAUGCAUUGCUUCCAGGCCGGGACAGUGUGGCCGAGCAGAUGGCUAUGUGCUAGAGGGCAAAGAGUUGGAGUUCUAUCUUAGGAAAAUCAAGGCCCGGAAAGGCAAAUAAAUCCUCGUUUUGUCUUCACCCGUGUAAUAAAGGUGUUUAUUGUUCUAUUCCC